rnacentral:rRNA from 1 species
UACAGAGGGGGCAAGCGUUAUUCGGAAUUAUUGGGCGUAAAGGGCGCGUAGGCGGCCUGGCAAGUGGAUGGUGAAAUCCCUCGGCUUAACCGAGGAACUGCCAUCCAGACUGCUUGGCUUGAGACCGGGAGAGGUGAGUGGAAUUCCCAGUGUAGCGGUGAAAUGCGUAGAUAUUGGGAGGAACACCAGUGGCGAAGGCGGCUCACUGGACCGGUACUGACGCUGAGGCGCGAAAGCUAGGGGAGCAAACGGG